rnacentral:rRNA from 1 species
GGGUUCGAUUCUGGCUCAGGAUGAACGCUGGCGGCGUGCUUAACACAUGCAAGUCGAACGGAACGUAACCGAGGAAAUUUUUCGAAGUGGAAUCGGUUACGUUUAGUGGCGGACGGGUGCGUAACACGUGGGCAACCUGCCCUGCUUUUCGGAAUAACGCCGGGAAACCGUCGCUAAUGCCGAAUGAUAUGAGAAGAAGGCAUCUUCUUUUCAUCAAAGAAUUUCGAAGCAGGAUGGGCCCGCGCCGGAUUAGCUGGUUGGUGAGGUAACGGCUCACCAAGGCGACGAUCCGUAGCCGACCUGAGAGGGUGAUCGGCCACACUGGAACUGAGACACGGUCCAGACUCCUACGGGAGGCAGCAGUGGGGAAUAUUGCACAAUGGGCGAAAGCCUGAUGCAGCAACGCCGCGUGAGCGAUGAAGGCUUUCGAGUCGUAAAGCUCUGUCGCAGGGGAAAGAAAAAA